GGUUACUGCUAUCGAGGUUCGACUAAGCCAUGCGAGUCGAAUGUAGCAAUACAUGGCGAACUGCUCAGUAACACGUGGACAACCUGCCCUUAGGUUGGGUAUAAACCCGGGAAACUGGGUAUAAUACCCGAUAGGUCUCGAUUGCUGGAAUGCAUCGAGAUUUAAAGCUCCGGCGCCUAAGGAUGGGUCUGCGGCCUAUCAGGUAGUAGUGGGUGUAGCGUACCUACUAGCCUACGACGGGUACGGGUUGUGAGAGCAAGAGCCCGGAGAUGGAUUCUGAGACACGAAUCCAGGCCCUACGGGGUGCAGCAGGCGCGAAAACUUUACAAUGCUGGCAACAGCGAUAAGGGAACCUCGAGUGCCAGGUUACAAAUCUGGCUGUCGAGAUGCCUAAAAAGCAUUUCAUAGCAAGGGCCGGGCAAGACCGGUGCCAGCCGCCGCGGUAACACCGGCGGCUCGAGUGGUAACCGUUAUUAUUGGGUCUAAAGGGUCUGUAGCCGGCCGGAUAAGUCUCUUGAGAAAUCUGGCAGCUUAACUGUCAGGCUUUCAGGAGAUACUGUCUGGCUCGAGGCCGGGAGAGGUGAGAGGUACUUCAGGGGUAGGGGUGAAAUCUUGUAAUCCUUGAAAGGACCACCAGUGGCGAAAGGCGUCUCACCAGAACGGACCUGA
rnacentral:rRNA from 1 species